UGGGGAAUAUUGCACAAUGGACGCAAGCCUGAUGCAGCCAUGCCGCGUGUAUGAAGAAGGCCUUCGGGUUGUAAAGUACUUUCAGCGAGGAGGAAGGCGUUGUGGUUAAUAACCGCAACGAUUGACGUUACUCGCAGAAGAAGCACCGGCUAACUCCGUGCCAGCAGCCGCGGUAAUACGGAGGGUGCAAGCGUUAAUCGGAAUUACUGGGCGUAAAGCGCACGCAGGCGGUGUGUCAAGUCGGAUGUGAAAUCCCCGGGCUCAACCUGGGAACUGCAUCCGAAACUGGCAGGCUAGAGUCUUGUAGAGGGGGGUAGAAUUCCAGGUGUAGCGGUGAAAUGCGUAGAGAUCUGGAGGAAUACCGGUGGCGAAGGCGGCCCCCUGGACAAAGACUGACGCUCAGGUGCGAAAGCGUGGGGAGCAAACA
rnacentral:rRNA from 1 species